rnacentral:tRNA from 1 species
GCCGGUGUAGCUCAGUGGUAGAGCACCCGCCUUGUAAGCGGAAGGUCGUCGGUUCGACCCCGACCACCGGCUCCA